rnacentral:rRNA from 1 species
AGUGAACGCUGGCGGUAGGCCUAACACAUGCAAGUCGAACGGCAGCACAGUAAGAGCUUGCUCUUACGGGUGGCGAGUGGCGGACGGGUGAGGAAUACAUCGGAAUCUACUUUUUCGUGGGGGAUAACGUAGGGAAACUUACGCUAAUACCGCAUACGACCUACGGGUGAAAGCAGGGGAUCUUCGGACCUUGCGCGAUUGAAUGAGCCGAUGUCGGAUUAGCUAGUUGGCGGGGUAAAGGCCCACCAAGGCGACGAUCCGUAGCUGGUCUGAGAGGAUGAUCAGCCACACUGGAACGUAGACACGGUCCAGACUCCUACGGGAGGCAGCAGUGGGGAAUAUUGGACAGUGGGCGCAAGCCUGGUCCAGCCAUACCGCGUGGGUGAAGAAGGCCUUCGGGUUGUAAAGCCCUUUUGUUGGGAAAGAAAAGCAGCAGGUUAAUACCCCGCUGUUCUGACGGUACCCAAAGAAUAAGCACCGGCUAACUUCGUG